rnacentral:tRNA from 1 species
GGCUCGGUAGCUUAGUUGGUAAAGCGCUCGUCUAGCAUACAAGAGUCCUGGGUUCAAAUCCAAGCCGAGCAC